UACGUAGGCAGCAAGCGUUGUUCGGAGUUACUGGGCGUAAAGAGUGUGUAGGCGGUUCGCUAAGUUUGGUGUGAAAUCUCCCGGCUUAACUGGGAGGGUGCGCCGAAAACUGGCGGGCUAGAGUGUGGGAGAGGGAAGCGGAAUUCCUGGUGUAGCGGUGAAAUGCGUAGAUAUCAGGAGGAACACCUGUGGUGUAGACGGCUUCCUGGACCACAACUGACGCUGAGACACGAAAGCGUGGGGAGCAAACAGG
rnacentral:rRNA from 1 species